AGCAGCCGCGGUAAUUCCAGCNCUUANAGCGUAUAUUAAAGUUGUUGCAGUUAAAAAGCUCGUAGUCGAAUUUCGGAGGAGAGCGCUCGGUCUCGGUUCUGCCGUGUACUGAGCCGCUCGAAUCUUUCUUCUGGGGAAGCGAGGUGCCCUUCACUGGGUGCCUCGGGAAACCAGGACGAUUACCUUGAGAAAAAUAGAGUGUUCAAAGCAGGCUUUUGCUUGAAUACGUUAGCAUGGAAUAAUAGAAUAGGACUUUGGUUCUAUUUUGUUGGUUUUAAGGACCAAUGUCAUGGUGAAUAGGGACAGUUGGGGGCAUUCGUAUUUCGGAGCUAGANGUGAAAUUCUUGGAUUUCCGGAAGACGAACUACUGCGAAAGCAUUUGCCAAGGAUGUUUUCAUUGAUCAAGAACGAAAGCCAGGGUAUCGAAGACGAUUAGAUACCGUCGUANNCUUGGCCAUAAACGAUGCCGACUANAGGAUCGGAGAACGUCCGAAUGUGACUUC
rnacentral:rRNA from 1 species